rnacentral:tRNA from 1 species
GAGCAGUUAGUGUAGAUGGCUGAAACACUGCGGAGGUGCACCGAUGCAGAGAGGUGGGUUCGACUCCCGCACUGCUCA